CCGAACUGGUGCUGUUUGCUGUUUUGUGUUCUGUUUCCAAAAUGGCUUGUUUCUCCAGUCCUUUGUUGUCUAUUUUUUGAGCGUGAGUCAAAGGUCUGAAGUCUUGCAUCUGAAAAAUUUCAACGGCGGGUGAUCUACUUACAUUUAAAGCCGAUGUUAGCGGUCUACCGGAGUAUUUUUGUGCGUUGAUGCCUUCCACGAUCGAUGUUGUUAUUAUGGCUUCGAAAGAGUCGUCGUUUUCGCUCAUUUUUUCAAGUAUUUCUUCAUCCAGUGUGUACAAAAUAGUCUGCGCAAAUUAUAAUUCAAAAUGUAAUUUUAUUAGAUAGUAUACAACUUUUUUUUCAGUAAAAAACUAAAACUUACGUCACCAAACGAAUUCAGCGACCCGAGUAUUUCUCCGCUGGCUCUGGCUAUUUCACCGCAAAAAAUACACGUAUUGUCUAACUUUA